rnacentral:tRNA from 1 species
GGCUGUAAACCAGAGUGAUUAAAUGGAGGGUUUAGAACCAGACCACACCCUGGGUUCAAAUCCUGGUUCAGCCA